rfam:Gossypium arboreum cultivar AKA8401 contig_49608_3, whole genome shotgun sequence.
UGUUAAAAAUUGCAUCCAUUUGUACUAUUAAAAUUAGCAUGGUCGACAGAAUAACUAGACAGUGACGUAAGCUGUGCCAUAUGUACCUCAUUCUUAUGUACAAGGACCAGUUUUAACAGCAGAAAUGGAUGAAAUUUUUAACA